AGACCCGAAACCCGGUGAUCUAGCCAUGGGCAGGUUGAAGGUUGGGUAACACUAACUGGAGGACCGAACCGACUAAUGUUGAAAAAUUAGCGGAUGACCUGUGGCUGGGGGUGAAAGGCCAAUCAAACCGGGAGAUAGCUGGUUCUCCCCGAAAGCUAUUUAGGUAGCGCCUCGUGAACUCAUCUCCGGGGGUAGAGCACUGUUUCGGCUAGGGGGCCAUCCCGGCUUACCAACCCGAUGCAAACUGCGAAUACCGGAGAAUGUUAUCACGGGAGACACACGGCGGGUGCUAACGUCCGUCGUGAAGAGGGAAACAACCCAGACCGCCAGCUAAGGUCCCAAAGUCAUGGUUAAGUGGGAAACGAUGUGGGAAGGCCCAGACAGCCAGGAUGUUGGCUUAGAAGCAGCCAUCAUUUAAAGAAAGCGUAAUAGCUCACUGGUCGAGUCGGCCUGCGCGGAAGAUGUAACGGGGCUAAACCAUGCACCGAAGCUGCGGCAGCGACGCUUAUGCGUUGUUGGGUAGGGGAGCGUUCUGUAAGCCGUUGAAGGUGGCCUGUGAGGGUUGCUGGAGGUAUCAGAAGUGCGAAUGCUGACAUAAGUAACGAUAAAGCGGGUGAAAAGCCCGCUCGCCGGAAGACCAAGGGUUCCUGUCCAACGUUAAUCGGGGCAGGGUGAGUCGACCCCUAAGGCGAGGCCGAAAGGCGUAGUCGAUGGGAAACGGGUUAAUAUUCCCGUACUUGGUGUUACUGCGAAGGGGGGACGGAGAAGGCUAUGUUGGCCGGGCGACGGUU
rnacentral:rRNA from 1 species